rnacentral:lncRNA from 1 species
CAAGCACAAGAGCCCAGAGCAGCAGAGCUAGUUUCUUCCGAGUCUCCAUUUCUCCCUGACGCGAGUUGCUUGGUGCUGGUGCGGUUGCUCCAGUCGUUCAGCCAUGGCUCUGGACGCGAGAUCCCUGCCAGCGGUGUCCGUCCCCGCCCUGGACGACGUCGGCGACGCGAGCCCGUGGUCCGGGAACGGCCGCGGCGGCGGUGGCGCUCCGUCGUCCGAGACGACGACGGCCGUGGACGUGGACGUGCCGGCGCUGUGGAGCGACGAGGGGAGGAUGAAGCGGGAGCUGGUGGCGUGGGCCAAGGCCGUGGCGUCCAUGGCCAUCAGGGAAUCGAUGCACUGCUAAAUUGCGCGCUAAGCAGUAAUCAAGCACGCAAUCAUUUGGGGGCAGCGAGCGAGGAAAUUAACUAGAUCCUUUUUUUUCCUUCUCUUAUCUGUGAGUCCUUUUCUUGGCGGAGCGGAUCAAUCUACGCGACGAAGAAUGGCCGCCCUCCGUGGUGGUGCUUCUUCCCGGCCAUGUUUGUUGUUCGAUCGAUUUGUCGAUCGGCCUGUACAUGAUUUUUUGGAAAGGAUGGAAGAGAAUUUGACCAGGAUGUAUAUUUUUCCAUGUCCUCGUUGCUCGUUCGAACUGUACGGGGGAAGUUGUGUUCUGGUGACUGAUCCCUUCCGACGAUCACCAACUCUCUGAGAAACACCGCAAACUGUGACGCCAAUCUGUAGAUCACACCGACAGUUCAAGCUUGUGUGCGGAGGCAGGCAGCACACUGGUCACUGGCAGCUCAUGGUCAUGGGUGGCCUCUCCAUGUCUCUGCAGUCCCAAAUAGUAGAUGUUUUGGACAUCGCCGUCGCCUCUGAAACAAAACAUUGACUAAUACAUUCUAGUAUAAAAUGUCUAAAAGACAUAUAAAUGAUUAUGUACAUAUUAGCGACUGGAGGGAACAUUAAAAGACAUUUAAAAUCCAAGGAGUGUUUUGUUUCCAAAUAGUCAAACUUUGCAUAUCUUGACUAUCAGCUAGUAAAACUAGAUAGGUACUCAUUCCGUCCCAAAAUGUAAGUAUUUGUAGUUCGUCUUAAAUCAAACCAUCUUUAAGCUUUUAAAAAAAAGAACAAUGAUAUUUAAGAUAUACAGUUAGUAUUAUUGGACCCAUUAUGAAUACAUGUUCGUAGCGUACUUGUUAGAUUUGUUAGAUGUUGUUUAGUUGGAUCCAUCAUGAAUACCCGAUUUCUUUCGAGGAAAUGACUGAUGGAAAUGCACUAAAAGCUUGAGAUCCCAAGAACAAGUAACCAAUGACUGACAAGGAAGGAGAAGAGGGAGAUGGGGGUAGGGGAAGAACAAACUGCGGAUGUCGACUCCAUAUGCCCCCCUGGUAUCUGUUCCACACCAGCACGAGUCAACAUCUAGCUUUUCCCCCCAAUUGUUUUCACGAGAGGAUAAAUUUGACUACAAAUUCGACGUCAAGCGAUUCACAGCCAUAUAAAAGUUCUAACCAGUGCGGCAGCGCCACCUUGCUAAACUAAAGAAGAUUGCCCCAGCUGGCAGCGUGAGCUGCGUGCCAACGACCUCACCAGACACCAGCAGUGACGCCAUUGGACCGGGACGCUUCGGUCGUCGAUGAACACAACUCUGCCUCCGCGCUCACCACACUGCGCGCUUGAUUAUUUCAGCGCGUUUUCGGCUCUUCGCCCAGCGACCUUCGCAAAAAAAAAAAAAGGAAAAAGAAAAGGAAAAAAGAAGAAGAGAGAGUUGACAAGCUAGGAAGGAACGCGAUGUCAGCGUCGCGGUUUUUGGUUGCGCGUACGUGCUUCCCUUCCAGUAUGAUAAUGUAGUGCUGGUAUAUAUAAGCACGUGGUGCUCGUGCGCCCUUGGUACAUACUCUACAUAUACAGCGUGCGUCGAGUGUCCUGGUUGCACACUUGCACCAACCAACCCAAGACAGCUUAUCGGCUGCAGCGCAGAGCCUCUUCCCUCAAGUGUGCUAGAGCGCUUCCUGCCCUUCUCCUUCUCCGUUUUCUGAAGCUACGUUCACGUCAGUUCUAAUACGGCCAUGGCUCUGGACGUCGGUUCCCUGCUAUCGGCGGUGCCCGUCCCCGCCCUCGACGCCGGUGACUGCAGCACGCCGAGGCCGUGGUCCGCGGGUAACGGCGGCGGCGAGGCGGUGUCCGGGGCUGUGCCGGUGCUGUUCGGCGACGACGAGGCGUUGAAGCGGGACCUGGUGGCGUGGGCCAAGGCCGUGGCGUCCAUGGCCAGGGAAUCAGCGCAGCAGUUCCGGUGCUAAUUGAGGAUUCAUCAGGCUUUACUGUUUCGUGUAGCGAGGAAGUACACUGCUCCUUUUUUCUGAGUCCUUUCUUGAUGGAGCCGUGGUGGUUCUCAACCAGGCAACCAAACCAUGACCAUUGAUCAUUCGGCUUGUAGCCUUUGUACAUGUUCUCCGCAAGGAUGUUUCAGAGUUUUUUCACCCAUACACGGUACACCCAUGUCCUCUGGAACUGUCUUGUCCUACAAAGCCACAAUGUUUUGGUUUUCGCUAUCCCCCAAUUUGGCGGCUGGGUUUGGCUGUCUGCGGUCUG